CCAGUGCUUGGCCGAGGUCUUGGACCCCAGCGUGACCUCGGAGGAGGAGGAGGAAGACGAGGACGAGGACGAGGAGGAGGAGGGGGCGCCAGAGGCGGCCGAGCUCGAGGACGAGAUGACUGACGUCUGACGGCCCCGCCGCCCCCAGCCUCUGGGAGCUGCCCCAACCUCGUUCCCCGUCUCCCUCGGCCUCCCUUCCCUUCCGGCAGGACCCCAAGGCCCGCCCGCCCGCUCUGGGGGGGCCCCGGACGGCCCUCCCUCAGGGCUGAGAGGAGCUCGCGCCCCCUCCAGCCUGUUACGGAUUUAUUUAUUUGGGGAACCCGGAGUCCAAGCGGAGUUCCUGGCACUCGGGCCGGGGGGCCCAUCGAGGAAGCCAAGGCUGGCCUUCCCUCUUCCAGGGCGCUGCCCCGCUUCGGCGGGUCCGCUGGAGCCGGUUCGCAGAAGGCCGUUGGCCUGUCCAGGGAAGAUGACCGACCGCCGGCCUCCCUCCCUGCCUGGAGGCUCGAGUCUGCCCCAGGCAGGGGGUGAGCAGGCCCUCGCUGGCAGCCCCCUGCGGUGGACCAUUUGGGAGAGAACCGGGUCUCCCCCAGGCUCUGCGGGGAGGUGGCGCCCCCGUCGGGCCCCCUGCUCUGCGCCCCCGAUUGCCAGGGUUCAGGCAGGUUCUCUCCUGGCUGGAAACAAGCCGUGCCGUGCCCCGUCUUCCUUCCCUGCUUCCCAGCUCUGGUGCUGUGUAGACAUGUUCACGGUGGGGGCCCCGGGGAGGAGCAGGCUGUGGGCAGAGGGGCUCCGCCUGGGCCUCGGGCCCUCCCCGCUGCCCUCCCUCCUGGGCUGUACUAAAGGAUGCUCUCGCCCCGGCCCCAGGGCCGCUGUCAUGUGCCUCCAUCCCGUGCUGUCUGGUGCUUGCUCCGUGCUCACCGCCGUCCUGGCUGACCAAUCAGUGUUCUCAAUAAAUGUAACUACGGCCGAGAGGCUGGGCUCCGUCUGUGCCCCGGCCCGCGGCGGGCCGGGGCUGUGCUGGCCCUCUUUCUGGGGGACGCGGGGGGCGCGCAGAGCGAGCUCAGCGGAGCCUCUAGUGCUCAGACAGGGACAGUCCCACGGAGGCCCACCCUGGCCUCGGGGCUCCUUUGACUGCUGCCCUGGGAGGACUCGCAGCUGCCAGAGGC
rnacentral:lncRNA from 1 species